UAGGGAAUCUUCGGCAAUGGACGGAAGUCUGACCGAGCAACGCCGCGUGAGUGAAGAAGGUUUUCGGAUCGUAAAGCUCUGUUGUAAGAGAAGAACGAGUGUGAGAGUGGAAAGUUCACACUGUGACGGUAUCUUACCAGAAAGGGACGGCUAACUACGUGCCAGCAGCCGCGGUAAUACGUAGGUCCCGAGCGUUGUCCGGAUUUAUUGGGCGUAAAGCGAGCGCAGGCGGUUAGAUAAGUCUGAAGUUAAAGGCUGUGGCUUAACCAUAGUACGCUUUGGAAACUGUUUAACUUGAGUGCAAGAGGGGAGAGUGGAAUUCCANNNNNGNANGNAAUUGAGAAACGUGGGANCGAUCCUGCUGNUGNGUNNNUUUUUUUUUUGNUGNNNNNNANCUAGGCUCGAAAGCGUGGGGAGCAAACAGGAUUAGAUACCCUGGUAGUCCACGCCGUAAACGAUGAGUGCUAGGUGUUAGACCCUUUCCGGGGUUUAGUGCCGCAGCUAACGCAUUAAGCACUCCGCCUGGGGAGUACGACCGCAAGGUU
rnacentral:rRNA from 1 species